UAAAUAAUUGGUUGGUUUUGGGCAGUAAAACAUGAAAAUUCGAAUACAAAAGAUAACAUAACUCGUUCACACAUUUCGCCAUUUUAAAAACAAUACAAACACCAUCUAGCGGCACACUGGAAAAUUCUCUGAAUUGUAAAAACAACCGCUAGAUGAUGCCAGUGCUGAUGCAGACAGAAUACAGCUCGUGACAGCUGAAGUGUGGAAAAUUCUUGAAAGAAUUCGAAAAGUGAAAUCAAUAUUCAGCCUAAGUUAUCAAUGUUUUUGAAGCUGAAAACCUAAAAGAUGAAAGAACUUGGUAUCAUGUUAACUAAAUGUUCUAAUGCAUAUUUACAGUCCAUUUGUCAUCAUUUACCACGUAAUGACGACCAUUGUUGAAGCUGGCCAGGAAUUCUAAGUUGUCAUCAAUCCUGCAGCUGUGUGCCUAUACUAAAAAUGGAAUAAAAAAUUGUAAUUACACAGCAAUCUUACAAAUUUUCUGUUCUUGUUUUUCAGAUGCAUGUUUUGUAAAUGGUGAAUCUCAAAUGAAUCCAAGAACUUUGAGUCGUCAUUUCACUUUCUUUCCAAUUUUAAUAAUGGUUUUUGUUUGAUUUUUCUAGGGGAUAUUGAUAUUGCAGACAUACCAUUUUGCAAGUACUUACCUACCUGAGCAGCUGAGCUCUUCCUUUCUGUGGUUCCUUUCAAUUGAUUCAUUUGAGUUAAAUCCCUCGCCACUGUUCCAGACCUUACCCACUAGUGGAAUAUGCAGAGAGAUGUUCAACUUAUACCAGGUUAACCCUUCGCCAUUGUGCUACAAUUUGAAGAAGUUGACGGUUACAGAAGAGCUGGCUUUUGAUCAAUAUCAAUAAAUUAUGUAGAUGUAGGUAAAUUA